rnacentral:lncRNA from 1 species
ACCACCCCGCGCUGCCCCUCCCAUUCCACGUCUCCCCUUCCUGUGCCCCCACCAUUGCGGCCUCCCUCCCACACCCUCGCCUCGCCACCCACCUGCAACCGCCAGCCUCCUCGCCGCCCCACCAAUGCCGGCCCCCUUUCCACCCCGACCCCCGCACUCCUCCUGCUCCGAGGACCAUGCUCUCCGUCGGGCCUGGUAAGUGAGCUUCCACCCACCGCGCCCCGCUGCCACCCGCCCCGCCCCUGCUUGCUCCCCACAUGCUGCCGGCCUCCGAUUCAGAUCCACCGAUGGUCCGGUCUUCGCCGUUGCCAGUCCUGACUCGCUCCUAGAGCUGCAUCACCUUCCCCUCCCUCCUAUAGCUGUAGCGCCUCCCCCUCCCUCGAGGAGCCGCCGCCACACCAUGCCCCUGUGCACCAGAUGCAGACGACACCUCACCCUCCAUCCCAAAUCUCCAUCGGACGGACAUCACUCCACCCGGAGGCAACAUACGCCGGUUCGUGCAGCCAUGGUGAGCCGUCCUCUCUCCCGGAACUCUCUGUUCUUCUUUCUUGCAGCCAUGGUGAGGUCAAGGUCGUGCAGCCAUGGACGAUUCUAUCAGAAGCAACAACCAACAUAGAUGGAAAAAAAGGAGGACCCAAGCUGGAUGACCUCGACCUUGACCAUGAGGUCCUCUCGAUAUGUGAUUCAGCUAGAUAUGCGCGCGUGUAUUAUUCACGGUUUAUCUUUGUGUAUGUGCGUGCGUGUACUUUCACUGCGAGUUUCAUGCUGCUUUGUUGUUCUGAUUGCUGAUUUUUAAUUGAGGCAGGGAGGCCACGGCUGGGACAGAGAUAGUUAGGUGUUGAUGCCGGCUGCUGCUUCUUCUUCUCCAGAUAUUGCAACCGCUCUUUGUGUUUCUGCUUCAAGAAAUAGAGGGAGAUUAGGAGAAGUGUAUAUCCUCUAUUGGUUUGUAGUUGCAAGAUUCUAGCUAUGCCGUUUUAAUUUGCUUGUUCUAGAGAGAAUCUGUGGUGUUACAUCAAAUUUUACAAAUCCUUGCACUUUCAGGAAUUUUGAUAGUGAAGAAAAACAUUGGGGACUAUGUAAUGUGAGUCUCUGAGAUGCUAUCAUCUUCUCCUUCUUUUGUUUAAGUUGGUUGUUUUGUAGUACUGACACGCAAAGUACUUUUCAGAGGUCAAAGAAGGUAAAAAAACUACAGAAGUUAAAUAUCACCCACAAGUAAUCGGAAUCGAUGCCUUUUUGCGAUUCUGAAUUUUGAUGCCUAUUAUUGUCUGCAGAGAAGAAGGCUUCCUCGAACGUUAAGAAAGUACAAUCGGGUAGCAAUGGAAGUGAUCCGUUCAAGAACAAGUGAGUUCUCUGAAUUAUUACAAUUGUGUGCAUGUGAUGAAGAGGUGAUGUAUAUGCUUCUCGCCCCUCGUUGGACUCCAAGUGGAAGGUGGAGAUGUAGUCAGCAGAAAAUUUCCCUCACACAAAAUUUCCGUCGAGGUGAUGUAUAUGCUUAUCGAACCAGUAGGACUCCUAGGCCCAACAAGUAGGUGUCUUCCACCCGUGUCAAGAAGACGUGGACCUUUACACACCACAAAUAACUUUGCUCCCAAAGAGUACAAAGAGGUUGUCAAUCUCUCCGGCCUUGUAGUUUGCAAAGGAUCAAAACACAAGCGGGAAGGUAAUACUGAUUGCAACGGAAAAGUAAAUAAAGCGGUAAAUGGUGGAGGUGUAAGUAAUGAUGGUGAUAUGGACCGGAGUCACAUGAUGUUCACGAGUGAUGUCUCUCUCCCAAAAGACGAUAAACAACUAUGCUAGGGUAAACAAAUCAUAGUUGGGAAAUUGACAGAAUUAUGAUUGCACCGCAAUGCUAAUUAUGCUCCUUGAUAGUUAGAGGUUCAAUAGUAAUGGGCAAUACGCCGAGACAAGUAGACCAUUUAUUCAUCAGCAUCUACUUACUAAUCAUCCACCUUGAGAUAUCUAUCCAGAACAUCUCUCCGAUAUUAAAUUGCGAGCCCAACCCAAAGUGCAAACUCAAAGAAACGGACAACUACAUUAACGAACUAUGCGUAAGGUAAACAAUCCUUGCAACCUUGGUCACAAGCAAUAUUGUUUUCUCCGCAGUGGCAACCAGCACAUCCCCUAGUCUCAUGAUUUUGUCAAUCAAGCUAGACAUCGAGGGGCCCGAAACCACGAUCAUGCCUAAUGCUCCCUCUUGGAGUUACGAUCUACUACUUGGCCAAAGCAAUAAAAAGCAAUGGAGAACAUGCAAGAAUCACUAAGGAACAUAAUAUAAAAGGAUAAUCAAAUAUAUAACUCAUAACAAUUUGAACAUAAUCUCAUAAUCCAUCGGAUCCCAACAAACCGAGCAUAGCAAUAGCAAGAGAAUUAUAUAGAUGCCUUGAUCAUGUAGGGC